rnacentral:rRNA from 1 species
AGAGUUUGAUCCUGGCUCAGGACGAACGCUGGCGGCGUGCCUAACACAUGCAAGUCGAACGGGGCCAGGGGCAACUCUGGUUCAGUGGCGGACGGGUGCGUAACACGUGAGGAACAUGACCUCCGGCGGGGGAUAGCCGGCCCAACGGCCGGGUAAUACCGCGUACGACCUUUCGGGGACAUCCCUGGAUGGUGAAAGCAGCAAUGCGCCGAUGGAGUGCCUCGCGGCCUAUCAGCUAGUUGGUGAGGUAACGGCUCACCAAGGCAACGACGGGUAGCUGGUCUGAGAGGAUGGCCAGCCACAUUGGGACUGAGACACGGCCCAGACUCCUACGGGAGGCAGCAGUGGGGAAUAUUGCGCAAUGGACGAAAGUCUGACGCAGCGACGCCGCGUGUGGGAUGACGGUCUUCGGAUUGUAAACCACUGUCGG